UACGAAGGGCCCAAGCGUUAAUCGGAAUCACUGGGCUUAAAGGGUGCGUAGGCGGAUCGGUAAGUACCUUGUGAAAUCCCAUGGCUCAACCAUGGAACUGCUUGGUAUACUGCCGAUCUUGAGGCCGGUAGGGGCAGCUGGAACUCUAGGUGGAGCGGUGAAAUGCGUAGAUAUCUAGAGGAACGCCAAAGGUGAAGACAGGCUGCUGGGCCGGACCUGACGCUGAGGCACGAAAGCGUGGGGAGCAAACAGG
rnacentral:rRNA from 1 species